rnacentral:rRNA from 1 species
UCGCCCUUUGCCAGCAGCCGCGGUAAUACGUAGGUGGCAAGCGUUAUCCGGAAUUAUUGGGCGUAAAGCGCGCGUAGGCGGUUUUUUAAGUCUGAUGUGAAAGCCCACGGCUCAACCGUGGAGGGUCAUUGGAAACUGGAAAACUUGAGUGCAGAAGAGGAAAGUGGAAUUCCAUGUGUAGCGGUGAAAUGCGCAGAGAUAUGGAGGAACACCAGUGGCGAAGGCGACUUUCUGGUCUGUAACUGACGCUGAUGUGCGAAAGCGUGGGGAUCAAACAGGAUUAGAUACCCUGGUAGUCC